GUCCGGGCUCGAGCCGGUCAGGAAGCAGCAUCAGAUGAACGACUUGGCCAGAGUCACCAUGUGAUCCACACCACACGCCACAUCCACGGGCUCCCCGGGCAUCGUCACCUGCAAAACAGGACCCAGCACACGGUGACUUACCCUCCCGGAGCCUCGGCUCCCCACCCUGCAAGUGGGGGUGCUUCUACCUAGCCGGCAGGCGUGUUAAGACGAAUAAAUGCGACCACCGUGGAAA